rnacentral:lncRNA from 1 species
AAGGAAAGGGGAUUCAUUAGAGUUUAUAGAUGAUUAUAUAAUGAAGUACUUUGUUUUCUUCUUUAGUAAUAACUAUGUAAUGAAAUUUCAAUUGUAUGACUUGAUUUCAUAAGAUUCUUGUGUUUAUUCAUAUCUAAGAGUAGUCAUUAACCAAAUCUAUCUAUUACAAUUGAAAAUAGGGCAGAAAGUUUCUCUUCCAUAAACAGUUCUAUUAAAAAUCCAAAUAAUUAGUAGUUAAUUGGUUGAUUCUAAGUGAGGUUGUGAUUUAUAUAUAAUUGUGGAAAUAGUACUUUUAAGUUGCUCUGUUAUUUCAACUCAAUAUGAAAAGAUUAAAGGGAACUUCUAAUACCCACAAUGCAUUGCCAGUUUUUCACUUUAGUAUCUUAUGAUUUUAACUAUAUCAUUUAAUUAGUAUUCUGUGUUUUUUAUUUUUAUUUUUUAUUACACCCUCCAUUAACUUCUCCUUUAAACUAAUCAACCUGCAAAGGCC